rnacentral:tRNA from 1 species
GGGCCCGUAGCUCAGCGGUUAGAGCUCUCCACUCAUAAUGGACGCGGUCGCUGGUUCGAAUCCAGCCGGGCCCA